UUGCUGCCGUUUGGUGUGGUUACCAUUCUUCUUAACACCUUUUGAUAGCUGUCUAUCGAUGUCUGAGUGUGGCCCCGAUGUGCAUUUCUCCAGUGGCUAACAAUAUUCAGCCUCUCUAGGUGCCGCCUGCUUGUCAGCUGAGUGUAUUCACUUCAUGCUUCCUUGCUUGUUUGGUUUGGUUUGGUUUUGGUCCAUUUUAAAAUUGGAUUGCUUGGAGUUUAGUUUUACUGUCCCUAUGCUAAAAAUUCUGCAUGUAUUCUUGGUAAGUUCUUGGUUGCAUAUGUGAUUUGAAGAUGUUUACUUCUAUCAUGUUGUGUUUUUCUGACCAUCUUUAGUAGGAUUAGUCACAGAACGGUGCUUUAAAUUAUCAUGAGACCCAAUUUAUUCAUUUUCUUUUUCUUACUAGCUUCAUCUAACAAAUACUUAUUGACUGUGUAUAACUUACCAAGAUAAUGUUGCAGACACUCCAUUGUAAUGAAAGCUGUGACAUGGCUCACUUGAGUGUUGUUCCAGUCAGUGAGAGAAUACUUUAAAAGUUAAUGCUGUGUAACAAGGGCUAAGUGGGAUGCAACAGGCAGAGCUGUGCUCUUGGCUGAUGGAAGGUCGUGGAUGAAGGUUCAAAUUUGCCAUUUCUGUGCCAGGAAGUGCCCAAAGCAACAUCGUAACAUUAUUUAAAAAUCCACCUUCUCCAGGUUACAAAUGGCAAUGUUUUAUAGCUAACAUAUGCUAAAUUUUGUUAUGCACAAAACAAUUUCACAUUGUACUAAUAAUUAAAAAAGUUCCAGGGCAGUAGAGAAGGUUACACAGGGUUUUAUAUUUGGUGAGCCUAGGAUUUAGCUAGGUUAAGGGGCGUGUCUCAGUUCACAUCCAGUAGGAGAUGAGCUCAGACCAGCACUCCAGUCUUGUGAUUAAUGCUCUUUUAAUUCUACCCAGAAUCCUCUCAAGACACAUCCUUUUGCAGCCAGUACAAACUCAUCAAUCUUCUAAGAAGUAGACGGUCUGAGUUCUGUUUUAAAAGAAGACGGGAUACAGUUCCUUGUGUGUUCAAAUGUCAAACCGCUCUUCUUCUUCGUGGAGGAAGAAUCCAUUAAAACCCAUCCAGUGGUCAUGAUGAUGCUGAAAAUGGAAAAAAAACCAUUCUUCUCUGAGUUAUGAAAGGAAACGGAAGCAGCCCUAUCUGUCCACCAGCAAAUGCACGCAUAACGAAAAUGUGGUAUGUGAACACCAUGGGGCUUAAUUCAUCAGUGAAGAAAAAUGGAAUUAUGAAGUUGGUGGAAAAUGGAUGGAACUGGAAUAUAUUAUAUUAAAUCAGGUUAAUCCAGGGUCUACAUUUGCAUCUGCAGACAGCAGGAAGAGAGUGGGAGCCACCGGGCCUGGCUUGAGCAUUUGCAACCUCAAAUCUCACCCCCAGUGACCUACCCCCAACAAGGCCACACCUAUCCCAAGAAGGGCAAAUCUGCUAAUAGUGCCAUUCUGUAUGAGCUGGGGGUGGGGGACAUUUUCACAUUUUCAUUCAAACCACCACACCCACCUGCCUGCCUUGGAGUUUGAAUGCCCAUGAAUAAAUAAAUAAACGUUUAAAAGCGA